CAUUUAUUGAGGUAUUGCUCCUCACAAGAGGGCAUUAGCUGCGGGGGUCUGCCUGCAGACCUUGACCUAAAAGAUGGAUGAAUGAAACGUACACUGACACACAGAUAUUGCUUUGCCAGUACUGCUGAGUGUCCGACUGCCUACACACCGAGAGAGGUUUGUCACUGCCGCUGGCCCUGAGUAGUUCACACUCCAGGCAUUUAUUUCGUAUACAAUUAACAACAGAAGCUCUGAGUCCACACACUUUUGGAUAAUUAACAUGGUUAAGUGAGUAGUUCUAUGAAUGAUUAAAGCUCAGGUACCGAGGUUUAAAGUAAAUAUCACUGGGGGCAAUAUCCCUGCCCCCCCAGAGGCCAUCUGACUUAAAGGUUAGUUAACAGAGGUAGGGUAAACAGACUUAACUGGGGAAGCCUCUAUUGUCCCUAGUAUUUACUCUGUAACUUAAUGCUCUAAGGUAAGAACCGGCUGUCUUCGGCCUGUUCAGCUAUUACAAGCUAUGUAACCUUUUGGCCUUCCAAAAAGGUUUGUGACUAUUCCCUAUAACUUUCCCUAAUAUUUCCCUUUAAUAUUUCUGCCACUAUCCUGAGUGAAUCCCAACAACUUAUCUUCCAUUAUAGUAUGAUACGGAAUAGUUAUCCUCUCCUAAAAACCGCUUGUGCUCCACCUAUUCAUUUCUCCCUUCUUCCCUCCGUUCCCUGUAAUCCCUGGCAACCACUGAUCUUUUUACUGUUUCCGUAGUUUUGCCUUUUUAAAGAAGAAGA
rnacentral:lncRNA from 10 species